ACAAGCCCAUUUGUGGUAGGCCCCUCUUGGAAAUUUUGGAUGGCUUAUGGCCUUCAGAGUCUACUUCCAACUUCUAGUCAAGACCUUCUGCGAUCUGACUCAUAGCUGACUUUCAAAGCCUCUGCUAUACUCCAUUCUUCAGUGUGCAGGCCAUGCCGAGUAUACUGUGUUGUACACAUUCAUGCCACCAUGUCUUUGUCUUCCAGGUUGUUCCCUUGGCUAUAGUGGUGCUGUGUUCUCUGUGGGCAGAUCAUUCCCAUUCUUGAAGUUCAUCUCAGUAAAGCCUUCUCUACCAACUCUACUCCCUACUGAAUCAUUCCUUUUCCUACAAGAGUUGGAAGAGAUGCUCUACUGCCGGCCACAGGAUCAGGCUUUCUGAGCUGCCAAUGAAGGGAUGAUCAGAAGCGUGGAGGAGUAAGCUCCCAGUGUGGGGAGCCUUGAUUAAUGAAACAGAGGACGGGAGGGAGCCUGGCAGGCAAAUUCUACCCCUCCUUGCUCCCUUCUUUGGAGGACGGUCUGGAAAGGUUUUUCCUUUCAAGCCUUGCAGAGAAAGUUUAGCCAACUGAGCAAACGUGCCAAAGGACACCUGUGUCCUCCUGACUCAUUGUGGAACCUGCCUAUGAGGUAACCCAUUACCUCACAUUGCUUUGCAGCUUUCCUUGCUUCACAUCCCUUUUUUCCUCACCCUCACCAGUCUGUUUGCCUAUUUCCCAAAUAAAAUGUCAGCACUUUAA